GUCUCUUUGGAGACAUCUGAUAAAAUUGGAACGAUACAGAGAUGAUUUGCAUGGCCCCUGCACAAGGAUGACAAGCACAAAUCGAGAAAUGGUCCAAAUUUGG
rnacentral:snRNA from 1 species